rnacentral:rRNA from 1 species
AGUGAACGCUGGCGGCGUGCUUAACACAUGCAAGUCGAACGAGAACGGAAUAUAGCUUGCUAUAUUUGUCAGCUAAGUGGCGCACGGGUGAGUAAUGUAUAGACAACCUGCCCUCUAGAAAGGAAUAACAGUUGGAAACGACUGCUAAUGCCCUAUAUGCCUUUAAUACAUAAGUAUGCAAGGGAAACGCUUUAGUGCUAGAGGAUGGGUCUGUAUGGUAUCAGCUUGUUGGUGAGGUAAUGGCUCACCAAGGCUAUGACGCCUAACUGGUUUGAGAGGAUGAUCAGUCACACUGGAACUGAGACACGGUCCAGACUCCUACGGGAGGCAGCAGUGGGGAAUAUUGCACAAUGGACGAAAGUCUGAUGCAGCAACGCCGCGUGGAGGAUGACACAUUUCGGUGCGUAAACUCCUUUUAUAUAGGAAGAUAAUGGCGGUACUAUAUGAAUAAGUACCGGCUAACUCCGUGCCAGCCGCCGCCGUAA